rnacentral:lncRNA from 1 species
GGACUUUUUCUUCUGGACUGAACUGCAUUUAAAUCUCAAAGGAUGGACAUCUCACAGCCUUCCUACAGCAAGUACUGUGAGGAAGCUGGAACUCAGAUUUCCAUUUUAUAUUUACAUAUAUAAUUAUUCUAUUAAUGGAUUCUAGCUUAAAUAAAAGAGAAGCAACAUGAGUCAUUGGGGCAGGGGGUGAGAUCGAUGACCUCUGGAGAUUGAUCCCAGUGUUCUGACAGAGUUCGCUUCUGUUAUCAGGUGCCAUAGUUUUUCAUAGUGAUGCUGAUAGAGCCUACUCAAGGAUUGGACUCAUUCUUUUGUUCCAUGAAUGCCAAUUCUGCAGAAGCCACUGUGGUAGAAAUUCAAAUGUAAUGAAAAACAAACAUUCGCUCAUUUAUUAUCACUAUUUGCCUGCCACAAAGACAGAUUUUGAGGAAGAUACACAAACAAAUAAAAACGUGUUGGCCAUUUGAAGGGAAAACUCAAAGGGGGAGAGAAAAAGACAAAAAAUAUCUUCAAAGAGGAGAAGAAAUCUGAUCUUUCUCUACGUCUGCUUAGUUGGCGUAACUUUUUUAGCCAACUGCUACUGAAGUGGUCAGAUUUAUUGCAGUAGCACAGGAUGAAAUAUGGCCUCAAAUUUCUUGGUUAGUUUCCACUAGAAAGUUUUAAACAUUAAAAAGUACAAAAUCAAUUACAUUUAUUGAAUGAUAAAGUAUAACAUUGUAUGAAGUUGAUGACUAUUAAAACUAUUUGAGUGUUUAAAAAGAUACUAGCGCCAGUCUGGCAGGGGCCUUUUCUAGUCUCAAGCACGCUGAGCAGUCCUACACCUUGCCUUCUGAGAGAGAAGAGGACAGUCCUAAGCCUCCUGAAGCCUGGCAAGGGUGCCCUAGUGAGGACAUCACCUGCAACUCCCAGAUGGAUAGACGAGGCCAUGGAGAGAGGAGAACACCAACCCAUGAGUGACAAGUGUCUGCCAUUGUCAAUGAUGCUGCAAGCACCACGAUGCCCCUUCUUAGCAGGGACCCAGCGGGCCUUACCAGCUUCAUUAUUUUCUAGGCAUGAUUGCAUCCUGUCUCCCAUUUUUGCUAAAAUUCUAUCUAGAGAAAGAGCUCAUUUUUAGCUAAAAAAAAAAAAAAAUCCUGUUUUAUCUGCUGAAAAAUCACAUAAAAUAACUAUUGGACUG